CGCACGAUCUGGCUCGACCGAUUCACCUUGCUGGCAACUUCUCAUCCCGCUGUAAAAAAUCCAGCCGCUCGUUCCUAUAUACAUUGCUCUUUUCUGCUCAGGUGGAUGACCGGUGGGCCUCUAUUCCUUGCGGGCCAGCUUCACAGUGUGCAUCUGGUGUGUGGGUCGCGUGCCUCUUCGGUGAAAAGCCUGCGGGCCCCGUGUUCCCCUCGAGUUCCCCUUCGCCUCUCACCUCCUCCAUCCACGGCCGGUCGUGAGAGAGAGCCGGCGGAAGCAGGGGCCAGAUCAAGGAGGGUGUUGGCGACCUAGGUGCAGGCCGCCGGCGUGGGUCUGGCGGGCGUGGCGGCCGGCGUGGUUCUGGCGGGCUUGGCGGCUGACGGCGAUCUGGCGGGCGUGGCUGGAGCUAGAAGGGCAGCAGUAGCCUGUGGGGUGGCCACCGGACCGACAGCGACUUCAAUGAAGGGGAACGGUCUGGCAGGCGCAUGCAGGCGGGAGAAGCUGGGGGCGCUCGUCGGUUGGGAAGAUGGCGACCACUUGAGCUUCUCCGAUCGAUCUGGACAGGGCCACUACAGCACAAGCAAGGGGUGGGCGCGAGCAACUCUAUGGAUCCACACACGUCUACAGCCCAUACAUAGAUGACAGGCCUGCAAGGAAAGGAGCAGAAGAAAACAUGCUUGGCUGUUUGUUUCCAGGAAGUAACGAUCAAAGAAGAAGAGUUAGAUGCUGCUUUGAUGGUAAACAUAUGCUUUAUUUUGGGAAGCAUAUGUUCUUGGUGCUUAAUAGCUUUGCAUUAACCUUCAAGGUUUGCCUUCCCAAUUUUAUCUCAUCGUCUUUGAUCCAGUUAGUGCCCAGCUUCUUCUGCUCUUGGUGAAAUAUCAAUAGAUGGAAGUCAGCCUAGGCAUAUGUGUACUAAUUUAGGAUAUUUCGAGUUUGGGGUUAGUUCAUAGUAGAGCUUGCUUUGCACUAUGUAUCUACCCGCCUUCAACACUAUGGUCUGUCUGCUGGGAUGUUUUGACAAGCACAGUAUACUCCCCUGGGAAGUUUUUUUGCUCUGCUUUGAGGGCAUGUUGAAUUGUGAGUGACUUCAUUGAGCAUAUCAGGAGAUUGAUAGAUAGUGCGAGAGCUGGUAAGAUUAUUAGGAAGUUACAUAAUUUUACAGCAUUAAUCUGAAUCUCAUACUCACACAUGAAUGGUGUCGGUUCCUAACAUUUAGCAUUUCUACGAUUUGCCCUUUUUAACUAUAUCCAAAAUGCAGAGAAGCGAGUUUUAUUUUCCAGGAGCUCUUAUGUUGCAGCUGAUACUAUUUUAUUCCCUUCAUCAUUUAUGAGGUCAGUACUAAUUUCACUUCCUCCCUCUUCUAUGAUUAAUCCACCAUGCCGAUAUGCUUCAUGACGACCAUGCUUUUGCCAUCCCUCACCCUCUCAGAUAAAUCGAGAGCAACACCAGCCUAAACUUCAUCUGAUCUCGAAAAAAGGGAAUAUAAACCAGCUAGACCAUCUACCCAGGCCAUCAUCUUCUUAUUUUUCACGCCUUGGAUAGUAUAUCUUGAAAUGGUACUGUUCAUGCCAAAUUUAUUUAUUUAUUUUAACCUUAUGGAUGCAAAUAUUUGUUGAUAUAUUAGUGGUCAAAGUUAUAAUGUUUAAUUAAUACAUCUAGCGCUGAUACAUAUUCACCACAUAUGAAUUACUUAUUUGACCGUUUAGCUAAAUGCAUUGUUGUUUGCAUUUUGAGAAGGGUGAUGUUCUGAUUUGUGCUGAUAUUCAUCUUUCUUUCUUUCUAAAGAUAUUCGAGAAAGAAGAUAGUAGGACAAGGCUAAAGGGGAACUAUGGUUAAAAGCUUUCUUUCUUUUGUUGUGACCUGUCUUACCUGGUUCUGCUUGAUAUGUUACUAAGCCGGGAUCAUGUAGUAACUAUGUUUAAUUAAAAUUUAGGUCAGUGGGAGCCUCUCCCACUGUCUUUCACUGGUCAAAAAAAGCUUGGAUCGUGUAAUCUUCUAACCUUCACUAAUCUUUCAUGCAUAAGCAGAGUUGCGUCCACAGUGGAGGCGCAAAUCAAGAAGGUUGACUGAGGAGAUGAGGUUGGGUGCCGAGCACAUGGCAGGAUGAAGAGAUUCUAUGAUCAGUCUCUAAAUAUUGUUACUUGCAUGGUUUGAGUGUUUGGUUCACUCUCGCCUUUUGCGCCAUUGGCAUAAUAGAAAACAAAAUCUGCACCAUGAUGAUUUGCAUCUACCGAUGCCGCUUUGCAAUCAGAAGACAUGCUGCAGAGAAUAAACAAGCAUCAUUGGGUUUCUGCUUUCACCAACAACAGCCCACCAAAUGCACCUACCAUGAAAAGCUGCUUGGAUGAUAGAAUCAUGUUUGAUACCUCUGCCUAAUACCACCACUUCCAUGUCUUGAUUGUUCCUGCUGGUGGCAGAUAUAAGACUCAGGCAAAGGUUAACAGAUAAGCGCUAUACAUAUGAUGCAUCUCUGCUAAUAUAGUUUGCUUCAUAAAGCCAAUGUAUGCUAUUAUCAAGUGAUCUCAAUAAUUUAUUUAACCUAUCAUGCUACCAUGUAGUGGAAUAUAUAAUACUAUAUGUACCUAAGUAUUUAUUAAGUUGGUUCUGAAUCA